rnacentral:rRNA from 1 species
GCGAACGGGUGAGUAACACGUGGGCAAUCUGCCCUUCACUCUGGGACAAGCCCUGGAAACGGGGUCUAAUACCGGAUACGAGUCUGGGAGGCAUCUCCUGGACUGGAAAGCUCCGGCGGUGAAGGAUGAGCCCGCGGCCUAUCAGCUUGUUGGUGGGGUAAUGGCCUACCAAGGCGACGACGGGUAGCCGGCCUGAGAGGGCGACCGGCCACACUGGGACUGAGACACGGCCCAGACUCCUACGGGAGGCAGCAGUGGGGAAUAUUGCACAAUGGGCGAAAGCCUGAUGCAGCGACGCCGCGUGAGGGAUGACGGCCUUCGGGUUGUAAACCUCUUUCAGCAGGGAAGAAGCGAAAGUGACGGUACCUGCAGAAGAAGCGCCGGCUAACUACGUGCCAGCAGCCGCGGUAAUACGUAGGGCGCAAGCGUUGUCCGGAAUUAUUGGGCGUAAAGAGCUCGUAGGCGGCUUGUCACGUCGGGUGUGAAAGCCCGGGGCUUAACCCCGGGUCUGCAUCCGAUACGGGCAGGCUAGAGUGUGGUAGGGGAGAUCGGAAUUCCUGGUGUAGCGGUGAAAUGCGCAGAUAUCAGGAGGAACACCGGUGGCGAAGGCGGAUCUCUGGGCCAUUACUGACGCUGAGGAGCGAAAGCGUGGGGAGCGAACAGGAUUAGAUACCCUGGUAGUCCA